UCAGUCGACUCCUACGGGGAGGCAGCAGUGGGGAAUAUUGCACAAUGGGGGAAACCCUGAUGCAGCCAUGCCGCGUGUGUGAAGAAGGCCUUCGGGUUGUAAAGCACUUUCAGUAGGGAGGAAGGUAGUGUAGUUAACACCUGCAUUAUUUGACGUUACCUACAGAAGAAGCACCGGCUAACUCCGUGCCAGCAGCCGCGGUAAUACGGAGGGUGCGAGCGUUAAUCGGAAUUACUGGGCGUAAAGCGCAUGCAGGCGGCCUGUUAAGUCAGAUGUGAAAGCCCGGGGCUUAACCUCGGAAUUGUAUUUGAAACUGGCAGGCUAGAGUCUUGUAGAGGGGGGUAGGAAUUUCAGGUGUAGCGGUGAAAUGCGUAGAGAUCUGAAGGAAUACCAGUGGCGAAGGCGGCCCCCUGGACAAAGACUGACGCUCAGAUGCGAAAGCGUGGGGAGCAAACAGGAUUAGAUACCCUGGUAG
rnacentral:rRNA from 1 species